rfam:Desulfotomaculum acetoxidans DSM 771, complete genome.
CAGCAGGGGAGAAACCUGCCGAGGUAAAAGUCAGAAACCUUGUAGCUAGGAUAGCAGGGUUAAAGGAAACUGAGAUUCUGGAGUCUAUCGACAAUAUUAUCCAAGGGAUGAUAGCGAGUUGCCAGGCCGUAGCGAAA